rnacentral:lncRNA from 1 species
AGACUGUGCUGUACAGUCAGCAUUUGGCUUAUUUUCCCUCCCCAGGGCAUAUGCAUGUGAGCUGUGAGUAUCAUCAUACAGAAAACGGAAGGAAGCAAAUGGCAGGUCUGGAGGAAGCGGGUGACACGUUCUAAGAGGUGAAGAGACUCCUGUGGAGAACAAAGCUGAUCAGCGUGGAAGCUCUGCUGUGUGUGGAGGCUCAGCUGCCGCUCGAGGAGAUAGUGGAUCCAACACUGCCAUCUUCUGACUGCACAGCAGAAAGAUACUACAUAUAUGUGCUGGUACAAAGAAGAAUCUUAAGGUGUUCAAAACUCAACUUUCU